rnacentral:lncRNA from 8 species
CUCUGUCGCUCUCUUUCUCUGUCGCUCUCUUUCUCUGUCGCUCUCUUUCUCUGUCGCUCUCUUUCUCUGUCGCUCUCUCUCUCUUUAUCUCUGUCGCUCUCUCUCUCUUUAUCUCUGUCGCUCUCUCUCUCUUUAUCUCUGUCGCUCUCUCUCUCUGUCGCUCUCUCUUUCUCUGUCGCUCUCUCUUUCUCUGUCGUCUCUCUCUUUCUCUGUCGCUCUCUCUCUCUUUCUCUGUCGCUCUCUCUCUCUUUACCUCUGUCGCUCUCUCUCUUUCUCUGUCGCUCUCUCUCUCUCUGUCGCUCUCUCUCUCUUUAUCUCUGUCGCUCGCUCUCUCUCUCUCUGUCGCUCUCUCUCUCUCUUUAUCUCUGUCGCUCUCUCUCUUAUCUCUCUCUCUUUCUGUCGCUCUCUCUCUUUCUCUGUCGCUCUCUCUCUCUUUCUCUGUCGCUCUCUCUCUCUCUUUAUCUCUGUCGCUCUCUCUCUUAUCUCUCUCUCUUUCUGUCGCUCUCUCUCUCUUUCUCUGUCGCUCUCUCUUUCUCUGUCGCUCUCUCUCUCUCUCUAUCUCUGUCGCUCUCUCUCUCUUUCUCUGUCGCUCUCUCUCUUUCUCUGUCGCUCUCUCUCUUUCUCUGUCGCUCUCUCUCUUUCUCUGUCGCUCUCUCUCUUUCUGUCGCUCUCUCUCUCUUUACCUCUGUCGCUCUCUCUCUCUCUUUAUCUCUGUCGCUCUCUCUCUCUCUUUAUCUCUGUCGCUCUCUCUCUCUCUUUAUCUCUGUCGCUCUCUCUUUAUCUCUGUCGCUCUCUCUCUAUCUCUUUCUCUGUCGCUCUCUUUCUCUGUCGCUCUCUUUCUGUCGCUCUCUUUCUCUGUCGCUCUCUUUCUCUGUCGCUCUCUCUCUCUUUAUCUCUGUCGCUCUCUCUCUCUUUAUCUCUGUCGCUCUUUCUCUGUCGCUCUCUCUCUCGUUCUCUGUCGCUCUCUCUCUCUUUACCUCUGUCGCUCUCUCUCUCUCUUUAUCUCUGUCGCUCUCUCUCUCUUUAUCUCUGUCGCUCUCAGUCACACACUAACUCCAAGGUCAACAGUUAUGUUAUCAAACUAUUCCGACUCCAUAGAAACAGAAAAACAUAACACCCUCCCGAGUGGUGCAGCUUUCCAAGGCACUGCUGAGGCGUCACUACAGAUCCUGGUUCGAUCCCAGGCUGUGUCGCAGCCGGCCGCGACAGGGAGACUCAUGAGGCAGCGUCGUCCGGGUUAG